GCUGUGCUAAUACCGCAUACGAUCUCUGGAUGAAAGCGGGGGACUCGCAAGAGCCUCGCGCGAUUGGAGCGGCCGAUAUCAGAUUAGCUAGUUGGUGGGGUAAAAGCCCACCAAGGCGACGAUCUGUAGCUGGUCUGAGAGGACGACCAGCCACACUGGAACUGAGACACGGUCCAGACUCCUACGGGAGGCAGCAGUGGGGAAUUUUGGACAAUGGGCGCAAGCCUGAUCCAGCAAUGCCGCGUGCAGGAUGAAGGCCUUCGGGUUGUAAACUGCUUUUGUACGGAACGAAACGGUUCUUUCUAAUAAAGAGAGCUAAUGACGGUACCGUAAGAAUAAGCACCGGCUAACUACGUGCCAGCAGCCGCGGUAAUACGUAGGGUGCGAGCGUUAAUCGGAAUUACUGGGCGUAAAGCGUGCGCAGGCGGUGAUGUAAGACAGAUGUGAAAUCCCCGGGCUCAACCUGGGACCUGCAUUUGUGACUGCAUCGCUAGAGUACGGUAGAGGGGGAUGGAAUUCCGCGUGUAGCAGUGAAAUGCGUAGAUAUGCGGAGGAACACCGAUGGCGAAGGCAAUCCCCUGGACCUGUACUGACGCUCAUGCACGAAAGCGUGGGGAGCAAACAGGAUUAGAUACCCUGGUAGUCCACGCCCUAAACGAUGUCAACUGGUUGUUGGGU
rnacentral:rRNA from 1 species